AGAGUUUGAUCCUGGCUCAGGAUGAACGCUAGCGGCAGGCCUAACACAUGCAAGUCGAACGGUAAGAUCCAGCUUGCUGGAUACACGAGUGGCGCACGGGUGAGUAACGCGUAUGCAACCUACCUUUAACUAGAGAAUAGCCCGGGGAAACCCGGAUUAAUACUCUAUAAUAUCUUGGAUUCGCAUGUUUCUAAGAUUAAAGCUCCGGCGGUUAAAGAUGGGCAUGCGUGACAUUAGUUUGUUGGUGAGGUAACGGCUCACCAAGACUACGAUGUCCAGGGGGCCUGAGAGGGUGGUCCCCCACACUGGUACUGAGACACGGACCAGACUCCUACGGGAGGCAGCAGUGAGGAAUAUUGGGCAAUGGACGAAAGUCUGACCCAGCCAUGCCGCGUGCAGGAUGGCGGCCCUACGGGUUGUAAACUGCUUUUAUACAGGAAGAAAUCCCUGAUCGUGAUCGGGGUUGACGGUACUGUACGAAUAAGCAUCGGCUAACUCCGUGCCAGCAGCCGCGGUAAUACGGAGGAUGCAAGCGUUAUCCGGAUUUAUUGGGUUUAAAGGGUGCGUAGGCGGAAAUUUAAGUCAGUGGUGAAAUCCUGCAGCUCAACUGUAGAACUGCCAUUGAUACUGAUUUUCUUGAGUCCAGUUGAGGUGGGCGGAAUGUGUAGUGUAGCGGUGAAAUGCUUAGAUAUUACACAGAACACCAAUUGCGAAGGCAGCUCACUAAACUGGCACUGACGCUGAGGCACGAAAGCGUGGGGAGCGAACAGGAUUAGAUACCCUGGUAGUCCACGCCGUAAACGAUGAUCACUCGCUGUUGGCGAUACACAGUCAGCGGCUGAGCUAAAGCACUAAGUGAUCCACCUGGGGAGUACGAUCGCAAGAUUGAAACUCAAAGGAAUUGACGGGGGCCCGCACAAGCGGAGGAACAUGUGGUUUAAUUCGAUGAUACGCGAGGAACCUUACCUGGGCUUAAAUGCAGAACGACGAUUCGGGAAACCGAUUCUCCCUUCGGGGCGGACUGCAAGGUGCUGCAUGGUUGUCGUCAGCUCGUGCCGUGAGGUGUCGGGUUAAGUCCCAUAACGAGCGCAACCCCUAUUGUUAGUUGCCAGCGGAUAAUGCCGGGGACUCUAACGAAACUGCCGGUGUAAACCGUGAGGAAGGUGGGGAUGACGUCAAAUCAGCACGGCCCUUAUGUCCAGGGCUACACACGUGUUACAAUGGCCGGUACAAAGGGCUGCUACUCCGCGAGGAGAUGCAAAUCUCGAAAGCCGGUCUCAGUUCGGAUUGGAGUCUGCAACUCGACUCCAUGAAGCUGGAUUCGCUAGUAAUCGCGUAUCAGCAACGACGCGGUGAAUACGU
rnacentral:rRNA from 1 species